rnacentral:rRNA from 1 species
CCUACGGGAGGCAGCAGUCGGGAAUAUUGCGCAAUGGAGGAAACUCUGACGCAGUGACGCCGCGUAUAGGAAGAAGGUUUUCGGAUUGUAAACCUCUGUCAGGAGGGAAGAAAGCGCAUGGCGCCAAUCAGCCAUGCGUUGACGGUACCUCCAAAGGAAGCGCCGGCUAACUCCGUGCCAGCAGCCGCGGUAAUACGGAGGGCGCGAGCGUUAAUCGGAAUUACUGGGCGUAAAGCGCGCGUAGGCUGUUGUGUAAGUUGGGGGGUGAAAUCCCACG